GGGGAAUCUUGCACAAUGGGGGCAACCCUGAUGCAGCGACGCCGCGUGAGCGAUGAAGCCCUUCGGGGCGUAAAGCUCUUUCGACCGGAACGAUAAUGACGGUACCGGGAGAAGAAGCUGCGGCUAACUACGUGCCAGCAGCCGCGGUAAUACGUAGGCAGCAAGCGUUGUUCGGAGUUACUGGGCGUAAAGAGUGCGUAGGCGGUUUUCUAAGCUCGGUGUGAAAUCUCCCGGCUUAACCGGGAGGGUGCGCCGAAAACUGGUUGGCUGGAGUAUGGGAGAGGAAAGCCGAAUUCCUGGUGUCGCGGUGAAAUGCGUAGAUAUCAGGAGGAACACCUGCGGUGUAGACAGCUUUCUGGACCAAAACUGACGCUGAGGCACGAAAGCGUGGGUAGCAAACA
rnacentral:rRNA from 1 species